UAGCCUAGUGGAUAAGGCUUUGGAUCGCCAAUCCGGAGACGGCGGGUUCGAUUCCCGU
rnacentral:tRNA from 1 species